CCUACGGGAGGCAGCAGUAAGGAAUAUUGCGCAAUGGGCGACAGCCUGACGCAGCGACGCCGCGUGGGGGAUGAAGGUCUUCGGAUUGUAAACCCCUUUCGGGAGGGAAGAUGGGACGGGCAACCGUUCGGACGGUACCUCCAGAAGCAGCCACGGCUAACUUCGUGCCAGCAGCCGCGGUAAUACGAAGGUGGCAAGCGUUGUUCGGAUUUACUGGGCGUACAGGGAGCGUAGGCGGUUGGGUAAGCCCUCCGUGAAAUCGCCGGGCCAAACCCGGAAAGUGCGGAGGGGACUGCUCAGCUAGAGGAUGGGAGAGGAGCGCGGAAUUCCCGGUGUAUCGGUGAAAUGCGUAGAGAUCGGGAGGAAGGCCGGUGGCGAAGGCGGCGCUCUGGAACAUUUCUGACGCUGAGGCUCGAAAGCGUGGGGAGCAAACAGGAUUAGAUCCCCUGGUAGU
rnacentral:rRNA from 1 species